CGAUCCGAUGCUAUCAUAUCUUUUAUUUUAUCUCUGCAACAUAUUUCUCUAACCUUAGAUCAAUCAUGGAUAUCUGGCAUUAACGAUAUGAGAUUAGAUUUUAAAAAAUAUAUAAAAACAUUUUUAACACAAUUAAAUGCACUUCCUGCUGAUAUGAAGAUUGACAACGAUAGAACCCACCUUGCAUCUACUAUUAAAUCAAACACCUUAUUUAUUGCAAAAAAAUAUUUUAGACAAAAUAUUAUUCCGAUAUUGAGAUAUUUGCGCUAUAUGAAAAUGUUUUCCGAAAUAACAAUAUCUCAUGCACCAGAACUGGUAAAGAAUUUAAAAUUCUGGGAUGAUUAUAAAUCGAAGAUAACUUAUCUAGUCCAUAUUUUAAAUUCACUAAAUAAAUACCUGGAAGAUAAUAAUUCAAACACUAAAACAUUAAUUGUUAUGAUGAAAAUAUUUUACAAAAAAUUUUCACAGGUCUAUUAUGAGAUGAUAUCAUCAAAUUAUCAACAAAAUGAAUUUUUAUUAGGGGCCGAAACUCUGUCAUAUUCUUUAACGUUGGCUAUUGGUAAAGCCAUAAAAUUUGGUGGAAUACCUUUGCUUAUUAGAGAUAACGAGAAUUCAUUAAAAAUUAUUCAUGUGAUAGAUGUUCAACCCAAUAUUAUUAUAUUGCACACAAAAACUAAGCCUAAAAAAUUAACAUUUAUGUUAAAAGAUGGUAAAAAGCAAGAUUAUUUAGUUAAAAGUUUGGAAGAUCUCAAGAUGGAUCAAAAAGUUGUCCAAUAUUUUAUCAUGUGCAACAAAAUUUUAAACGGAACUCUUAAGACUGAUUUGAAAAAUAUUCUUCAAACAUACCAAGUCAUACCCAUAUUUAAUAGAUGCGGUCUUAUUCAAAUGAUAGAGGGGACAGGACAAAAGGUUAUGUCGAUUUACUCUUUAUAUGAAGAUUGGUUGAAAAGAAUUAUUCCGGAAAAGAUUGCAGAAACUAAAAGGCAAUAUUUAUCUGAAAAUUUGCAAGAAUUAAAUCUCCAAGAACUAUCUCCUUUAUUACCCUACACUGAUUUCGAGGAUAAGGAUAACACAAAUCCAACCGAUUUGGAUCAAGCUAUCUUAUCUCCAAUUAGUAAAAUUGAUUCGAUAAAAAGCAAAUCAUAUUUACUACAAAAGCCUUUGGCAUUGUUUUAUUCCGUUUUGAUAUCCGAAGCUAAAAAAAAGUAUGACCAAGACUUAUCGAUAACUUCUCUAAUUAAAGAUAGGAAAAGUCUUUUAACUCCAGACUUGAUAAAACAAGUGUAUUAUGAAUUAUUAGACAUGCAAGAUAGUUCAAAUUUAGUUCUAAUUAAUCAAAAUAAUCCAUUAACUGAGACUGAUUCGAUAAAUUGGUUUUCAAAGAUCAAAAAUUUUGAAGCAUCUUUAUCUUUAUCUUCCAUUAUCAGCUAUAUAAUAGGACUUGGUGACAGGCAUUUGGGAAAUUUAUUGAUUGAUUCUCAAAAGGGAACUCUUAUACAAAUUGAUUUUAAUAUUUGUUUUGAAAGAGGGAAAUUUUUAGCUAUACCAGAAACUGUUCCGUUUCGAUUAACCCCAAUAAUCGAAAAUAUUUUACUGGGAAAUUCUUUUACCAUUGGAUCAAUGGGUAAUUUCAAAACAUUCGCCAUCGAAACUUUGGGAAUUAUACGUCAACACCCCGAGAUUCACGAAUUAUAUUCUGAUUGGUUGUUAAAUGACCCUCCUUUACAUUCAGAUAGUUUAAGAAAAUCUAUCCUUCCAACUUCAUUUGAUAGUAUUGCAAGCAAAUUCCAUGUAAUUAAUACCGACAUAAAACGUACCAAGACAUAUUCUAAACAUAAAAAAUGGAAAUUUUAUCUAGUAUUUCAACUACUUCAUUGGAAAGAUUUUAUAAAAUAUCAUAUGGGUAUUGAAAUUGAUGUUAAUAUAUCUGGACGUGAAUGUAAUAAUAUUAAUUCUCUUAAACUCCAAUAUUGUAAAGAAGAGUUAAUGGAUGCAAUCAAAUCUUCUCAUUCUCAUUUUAACAUUGAAUACGAAACACUCUUUCAUGAUAAUUAUAACAAACUAGCUGAAUAUUUUAAGGAAAUAUCAAUUUUUCUUGAAAAACAUAACUUAUUCGAGGAUAUUAGAAAUGAUAAGAUUUGGCCUGUCUUACAAUCAUAUAAAAAGAUUUCACGGAUAUUACCAUUUUGCUCAAAAUAUCAAGAAGAUUUAAACUGCGAAAAACUGAUCGAUGAUGGUUGGUUUGAUGAUUUGAUAAAACGGUAUCAAUCAAAUUACAACAAUUAUAGGAAUUAUAGUUCUGCUAUUGAACUGAUUAGAUUAAAAUACAACAAAUUGUUAGACGUUAAAGAUUCUUUUAAAAUGAUUUUAAAAAUUAUAACAGAAACUAAAUUACCUGAUGUGAAAAACGAUCCAUUCAUACUAGCGGUUUGGAAUUUAAGUAAAAAAUAUGGUAACGUAAUGCUCGAAGGAUAUGAUACAUUUUUUGAACAAACACUUUUAUUCAAAAUUCAUAGUUUACUAUCUACUAUUUGUAAAAAUGAUAUCUGUUUAGAUAACUUAAUGAAAACUAUAGCCGAUUUAAAAUCAUAUAUCAAAGAUAAUAAUUAUUUCCUCCGUAUCAAUGAUAUUCAUCAUUUUUCUUCUAGAGAAUUUAAGAUGGAAAAUGACGUUUAUUUGAUCAAACUGAAUUAUUCAAUAAAAUUGUUGAAUAUAAAAUUAUUAUCCACGAAUUAUCCAACUGAUUUUCCAGACCUAUUUACUUCAAUCGUAAAAAUAUUACAGCAACCAACAUUAUUAAUCACUAUUUUAAAGACUAAGCUGAGUAAGGAUCAAUUAUCACUUAUAUCCAAAGAUAUUGAAAAAAUUUAUGAAUUGGCACAAGUGUCUGAAAGACUCAAAACCACUUAUAUUAAGUAUAACACCAAUAUUUUCCCGCAAGUAUUUCAAUAUAUAAUGAAGCAUACUCAGGUAGCACUUAAUGGUUUCCAAGAAAUGAGCAAAAGUGUAUUCUCAUUAUACACCGAUAUAUUUAAAAAAGGAUAUGAAUGUAUUAAACUUCGAGACAUCUAUAAAAUGAUGGAAGCAAAAUGGGAUAGAUACAUUUCAAAAAUGACCAAUGAUCCUAUUAGCAUUUUAAUAAAAUUUCUAUAUGAAGAAUGGAGAAUAUUUGAUGAUUCGAUGGAUAAUAUGUUUAAAGACUUGAAUUUAAAUGAUAUCAGUAUUAAUAAAUUGGAAAAUAUGUCCAAUAAAUGCAAAUAUACACAUUUUUUAGAUCUUAUAUUUACAAUUUAUAUAUUAAUUCGGGAAAUUUUUCAAAGUCCUAUGAUUAGAGACUUCAAGAACAUAACCAAAUACGAUGGUGAAGAUUAUUAUGAUAACGCCAUUCAUAUAUAUUCGACCUAUGUCUCACAGUUAUUUUGGAGAUUUUUACAACCCUUAGAAAAAAUAUAUCAGGAUAAUAUUAAUAUCAAAUUAUUAAAAGCGAAAGAUAACUCAGUAUUGAAUAGUAUUCGGAUUUCUAGUAGUGAUAACCUUAUACACACUAAAUUUUUAACCAUGGAUGAAAUGUAUGAAGCAAACAAAAAUAACUUAGAAAUGGUCUUAUUUAUAUACGAAAAUUAUAAGUCUUUUCACAUUUCUAAUAUUAAUUUUCAUUCUUGGAAUCUAUUAUAUUCAAAUAUUCAAAGCACGGAUAAAAACGAUAACUCCGAAAUUUUAUCAUAUCCCACUUUUUUGGAUGAAUUUAAUAAGAGCAUUAUUAAUUUGUCCUCAAGAUGUAAUUACUCUUUAAAAAUGAAUAUGUUCGAAAUAUUAACAAAAUACAAGACAGAACAAAAAAUAAUCAGGCUUGAUGCGGAACAUAUUUUAGAUUUCGCUCACAUUAUAUUAUAUUUUGAAGAUUUUAGAACUAACAUUUUAACCUCCGCAUCAUAUAAUCUAAUAUGCGAAUAUUUAAAUUUUUUAGAAGAAAUGUACACGCAGAUUUAUCCUUUUUUAGCUAAGCCAGAGUUAUUUUCAAAAGAUGAAGAAAGUUUUAUGGAUGAAUUUAAAUUAUAUUGUCCUAAAUUCAAUGAGAUUAAAUUUUUAUCGCACUCGGACAAUCUUUAUAAUUAUGAUAUUGAAUCUUUUAAAAUACAUUUAGAAAAAAAACUAUCACAGAAUUUUAAUGAUCUGAUAACCCUCAAGAAUAAAUACUGUUUAAACAUUAAGAAAAUGUACGGCACAAUGGAAAAAUCUAAAAUUUUAUUAAAUAAUUUCAAAAAAUCCUUUAUAAUUUUACAUUCCAUCAUUUCUGAUAAUCAAGAAAAUUUUGAAAUUAUUGUGAAAGGUUGCGAAGUUUAUCAUAACUUGUAUAUAGGCGAUACCUGUCAGUCUUGGGAAAAUCAAUUAAAUCAGCCAAACGAUAUCACAUUUUUCCAUGUUAUAAUGAAUAUAAAAUCCAUUAUUUAUAAUCAGAAAGAAAUAAGUAAUAGUAUUGAAAAAUUUAUAUCCAAACAUUCUUUAUUAUACGAACUACUGGAAUCAUUAAAAUUUCAAAAUUUUGGACCGCCAUUAGAAAUGAAUACAAAAAAACAAUACAUGUUGCUAACUAAGUCGAAAGAAAAUAUCGUUACUCAGGUUAAACCAAAUCUAUUUGAUGAUUUUAGUGAAAUGAAUAAUGAAAACAGUUAUUAUGAAGAAUUGAUAUCCGAAAUUUUCAAUUACAUUAAUCAAAUUAAAUAUUUGAUAAAUAGUUUAUAUCUCAAUAUUCAACAAUCUUUUGAAUUGGCAAGUAAUUUUUGUUCGCUAUCAAUAUCUAGAUCUAUUAAUCAGCCUUUAAUUGACGAUGGAAAAUUUAUAUUGAAUAAAACACUUGUGAAUAUUUGGUUAAUAUCGCAAUGUAGUAUACGAUAUAAUGAUUUUCACCAGAAACUAUUAAUGCAUAUUUAUGAUAAAUCAUACUUAGCUAACCAAAACAAUUGCCCUUCAUAUGUGUUUGGACUUUUGGAUAAAUUUGAUUAUAAAAAUGAAUCUGAGACUACUAAAUUUAUUGUUAACAGGAUGAGAGAUAAGAUAGAGGGUAACGAUGAAGAGCUCUUAAAAUUUUGCUCUCUUCAACAUUCCUCAAUUCCUUUUACAUGUGAUAGUCAAACAGGAACGCUUGGCAGUUAAUACGGCAUUAGCUAUACUAAAAACGCGCUUUACAGGGGCAGAUGAAGGGAUUGCGGUGAAUGCUCUUAUUCUUCAAGCCAAAUCAAUAGAGAAUUUAUCUUCCAUGUAUGAAGGAUGGAUGUCCUGGAUUUAAAUUUAAAAUAAAAUUUGCAAUUUAUAUUAAAUGUGAAUCUG